GAUCGUGCCGAAUGCCUUCGAUAGGUCCAGUUCCACGAGGACCGUCCUAUCACAUGGCCUGGGCAGAUUGAAGCCACGGCAAAUAUGGACGGUGAUGGCAUGCAAAGCAGUUGUUGUUGCAGUUUUCGAAAACCAUGCUGAUGCCCGAAUGGAAAUUCCCCAACGUAGCGUCUUGGCUACUGGGGAGAGAAGGUUGAUCGGACGACUCCCCUUUACUAGGCUUCAAUAGCGGGAUCACUUCGUCCAUCUUUCAAACAUCGGGUACUAUAGGAGUGUUCAGAGACAAGGUUGAAGACAGUCAAGGUACUCGACUCCAGAUGGGUCCAGAUUCUUAGCAUCAAUGUAGAGAUUCCGUCAGGGCCCAACGCUUGGAUGACUUGACGCCACGGAUAACAUUCGUAACUUCGUCCACGAUAAAUUGUGUUGGCUGUCCAUUCUCUGAAGCUGACCAAAUCGGCCUUUUUCUGAUUGAUAAAUGUCCGGCGCUCAGAGGUUAUGAAAUCGGGUGGUCUGCGAUGGUGAGAAUUAUGGGGAGGUGAUCUGAUACCAAAGAAAUGAUGGCAUGUCAGGAUACGUCACGCAGGAGAUCAGUGGAUGCAAUGAAAUUGUCUGGCGAGCUGCUGUAUCUUCUCGUAAUUCUAGUGGGGGCAUCCUCAUUCACCGUGCGAAACGUUCCUUCAAUCUGCUCUGUGGCAUGCAGUGUGCGUCGUUUGCAUUUUGUAAAUAUGGAUGAUUUCCUUUCCCGUGAAGGAAACUAUGGCGUAAUGCACGUAUAUAGGGUUUCGUUAGCCGUAGCUGCUGUAAAUUUGUUUUUUUUUUUAAUUUUUUCGGCAGAGCUGCCAGAAGAAAUAUAAAACAAUUUUCGACACCUAUAAGCUUGAAUUUUGUCAAUUUUUGAGCGCACAAAAAUUUCUCUGUAAUUUCAAUGCUCUUUAGAGGGACUCCAUCGGCUCAAUCCGAAUGCCGCUUUUCGAACUGCAACGGGUUUUCUCCUAAGUUCUCACGUGGACCACCUCCAUCAGGAGACAAAGAUCCUACCCGUGCGAAGUCAUGUUGUCUAAAUGCUGUCUAAGCCAAAUCUGCUGGGCUGUUAUCGCAGGGACCAUCCCAAUCAUCAUCAUCCAGGAGCCUUAAGGUGGAUCUACAUGAUGAUAGUCACAUUAACACUGUUUAAAAGAGUAUGAGUAUUAUCAAACAUCAACUGAAUAAAAUAUCUUUAAAAUAGAGGCAGCUGAAUGAAGACACGCGAAGUGGUUUAUACUGUCCGUGUG